UACGUAGGGGGCAAGCGUUGUCCGGAUUUACUGGGCGUAAAGAGCGUGUAGGCGGCCACGCAGGUCCGUUGUGAAAACUGGAGGCUCAACCUCCAGCUGUCGACGGAAACCGUAUGGCUAGAGUCCGGAAGAGGAGAGUGGAAUUCCUGGUGUAGCGGUGAAAUGCGCAGAUAUCGGGAGGAGCACCAAUGGCGAAGGCAGCUCGCUGGGACGUUACUGACGCUGAGACGCGAAAGCGUGGGGAGCAAACAGG
rnacentral:rRNA from 1 species